GCAACCAAAACCUCUUUGCACCAUCUGUAACCUGGUUGUUGUCAGGGUCUUUCCUUCUGGGUGGGAAGCAGCCCUGUCAGCAAGAACCAUGUCAGAGCCUUGGUGACUGGAAGUCACGAUCUCCCCACUGCCUUACCUUGUCUUUUGAUUUUUCACUUUGACUCAUUGCUCCCAGUCAUCCCUGUCGUCAAUAAUAAGAGGUGCUGGGGCACAUUUUACAAAUAUGUGUGCCUAAUCAUCUUGAUAUCUGAGAGGAGCCAUGUAGAUAAGAAGAGCUUUUAUCUCCUUUUCACAGCGGCAAUGUGAACCCUCCAGGGCUGCACAGGAUGACUGCAGCCACACAAGGUUCCAGCAGCAGCAUGCACCCGGUUAUGCAAAAAAAAGAGGAGAAAAGCCCUUCCAGUCUGCACCGGCUGGAUUUAACCUCAUGCACCGCUUCAGGAUCUGAUCCUCAUACUUCAAGGCUAAAGCUGAGCUCCUGGAAUGACUCUGGAGCUGAAACAUACACCUAAGUACUUGGCUGAAUCAGUCCCUCUUCAAGUAUAAGGAGGAAGAUAUUCAGGCUUUCUAAUUCAGCAGCACAGCAGGGAAACUGCUUGUCUCUGCAUGAUUGUGUAAUUGCUUUUCAAAGAGAGAAGUGAGUUUCUCUAUCCACAUUGCACUAACAAACCUCAGAAGUCACUUUGGUCUCCCAGCCUAACUUUCAAGAUUAUUUGUUAUGGAUAAAAAAAAGACACUUCUAUUUCCAUAGCUGACAAGCUUUGCCUCAGGGCAUGCAUUUAUUUUCCAUGCUGUUGAUCUAUUCCUCCCUGUAUCAGGCUAAUUCAUCAGAUUAAUAAAGGACGAUUUAGCUUCC